AACGAACGCUGGCGGCAGGCUUAACACAUGCAAGUCGAGCGCCCCGCAAGGGGAGCGGCAGACGGGUGAGUAACGCGUGGGAAUCUACCCAUCUCUACGGAAUAACGCAUGGAAACGUGUGCUAAUACCGUAUACGUCCUUCGGGAGAAAGAUUUAUCGGAGAUGGAUGAGCCCGCGUUGGAUUAGCUAGUUGGUGGGGUAAAGGCCUACCGAGGCGACGAUCCAUGGCUGGUCUGAGAGGAUGAUCAGCCACACUGGGACUGAGACACGGCCCAGACUCCUACGGGAGGCAGCAGUGGGGAAUAUUGGACAAUGGGCGCAAGCCUGAUCCAGCCAUGCCGCGUGAGUGAUGAAGGCCCUAGGGUUGUAAAGCUCUUUCACCGGUGAAGAUAAUGACGGUAACCGGAGAAGAAGCCCCGGCUAACUUCGUGCCAGCAGCCGCAGUAAAAC
rnacentral:rRNA from 1 species